rnacentral:lncRNA from 1 species
AGCCUGAUAUUUUUUUUUCUUCUCUUUUAAAAAUGCCAGUCAGUCUUGUUUGUUGAAACUCUAGAGGGAAAUAAUUCUACGUAUUUGAAUAUCGUUUGUUCUUUUUAGAGAACUUCACUGUAUUAUAUUGAUCAACGGCGAUGCUCCAAACGUUGAGGGCAACAUUCAAAGAUAGAGAAAAAUAUUGCUCCAUGGUCACUAUUUCUUCUCUCGUGAAUGAUACCCAUGGC